GACGUAGGGGGCGAGCGUUGUCCGGAUUUAUUGGGCGUAAAGCGUGCGUAGGCGGCUGCGCAAGUCGGUUGUGAAAGCCCGGGGCUCAACCCCGGAAUUGCCUUUAAAACUGCAUCGCUAGAAUUGUGGAGAGGUAAGUGGAAUUCCGAGUGUAGAGGUGAAAUUCGUAGAUAUUCGGAAGAACACCAGUGGCGAAGGCGACUUACUGGACACAUAUUGACGCUGAGGUGCGAAAGCGUGGGGAGCAAACAGG
rnacentral:rRNA from 1 species